GCUAUUUAUUUAAAGAAGGAAAAGACUUUUCAGCGAUGUUGUUGAUCACUAGCUAUAUAACAGAGCAGAGCUGUCAAUCAUAAGUAUUCAGAAGUUGUAAGCCAAACACUAUACAAAAUAUUUUUUACCAAAACAGAAAAAUGUUAAUGUCCCAAAGUUUCGGUGUAGCUUAUCCUACCUCUGGCUACAAACGCAGACUAGAUGACUUUCAGCACUUCCUCUGGUGCAAGAAUUUAUUUAACUUGAUAUUUACCUUCUAGUUUUCAGCCUUCAUGUUUAAUACUUUUGAGUUUUCCCAUCGGCAUAAUUAUCGCUAGGUGUUGCUAGGACUGAAAGCUGAGCCUGCUCGUGUAAAUCCACUAUCUAUGACCUUGAGAGAAGAGCGCCAGCUGCAGCGAGGCUGCACUGCCCCGAUCCUCAGAGCAGAGGCUCUGUGCUCCUCGGCUUUCCUGGCAGGACAAUGUUGGUGCAGCUCCCUGGGCUGUGCUGAAGCACAUCCCUUGAUGUGACACUGAUGGGCGAGGGGCUGUGUCAAGCUGGAAGCAGGACCGCAGGUGCAGCUGUGUGAGCAGCUGACUGAUCGCUCUCAUGCCGAGGGCACAAAGGUGUUGCUGCUCUUCCCUGUGGCUCUUGGUGGAGAUGGACGAACAGUGGAAGUAGGAGCCUUGCAAACGAAGGACAGUGAAUGGAGAUGGAGAACGCUUCGGGACAAAGGCCAGUGACACUCCUGGAAAUAUGCGGUGUGCUCACCUGGUAUCCGGCAGUGAAAACGAGCAACAUGAGGAUGCCACUGGACAUGGAAGGUAACUCUGUCUGGGAAUGUGCAGCUGCCACUGCUCUUGACCCCUCCCAAUUGCCACUGAGGCAGCGGAGUCUGGCCGCCGAGUAUCUACCACCAGCACUUCAUGCUGCUCACAAGCAAGGACCUGAUCAAUGUGCUGCUGGAAUCCAUGACUUUGCUCAGAGUUCAUGCCAUGAGUCAGAAGCAGCACCAGAAUUUCAGAAACAACAGUAGUAUUUCAGCCAGCCCGGUAGAGAAAGAUCUCAGCAGUACCUGCUCUUCCAAAUUUAUUCAUUGUUUACUUACCCGACACUAGGGUGUCCUCUUUGCAGACAGUUUGAAUGGACAUCAGGGUGUUUUUCCUGCUAUGAUAGAAAAGGUGGCCUUUUCUCCAAGCUGACUGGAACAUCCCUGUGCCUCCUCCUUGCUUCAGACUGGAAAACAGAGCUGCCAAAGUGGUGUUGCAGGGUGACCACAGAGCGACUGGCAUUUGUACUUUCCUUUCUUAAUUCCUCUUGGCUUGCUUUCCCAGUUUCUCACAUCAUAUUGAGGGACCUCAAAAGCUCUGCUCACGAAAGAAGCAUAGUCCAAUUUCAUGAACUAAUACACUAUUUCUAAUGAGGGGAACCUGAAGAGACAACAAUCUUUUUACUGAUUUACUCUUUAAAGUAUUAUCCCUCAGAAAUGGUUGACCAUUAACAUACUACAAAGAAUGACAGGGUUCAGUUUGCCUCAAUUCUGCAGCAUGUGUUUGGAUUUAGAUACCUGGAGCUUAUCUCAAUGGUAGGCAGCAACCCAGCCAUCGGCUUUGUCUCAUUGACACAGAGCACCUUAGGUGCCAGCAUUCACUGCCACUCCUUGAAGGGACCAUCUCACAGCUAAGGACACGGGAGAGCUGAAGACAGAGGAGCAGGACUGCAGUUACAUGCCACCUCCCACCUCUCCUUGAUUUAAACCUCAGCUGUGAGUACUCAGGACAUCUGCAAGGCAGGCCUUACAAACGGCACCAUUAAAGAAUGAACGCACGGAGUUUGCACCCACUAGUGAAAAAAACCUUGACUUAAGUGGGCUAAUUUGCCCACGUUAAGCAGGAGCUGAGAUGCCAAGGAAUUUCUUUAUCCUUCCUGGUUUUGUCCUCUAGUAAGUAUCAGAGGCCCUUUCUAGCCACACUCUCUCUUGUUGGCAGGGAGUUUCAGCAAGCCUGCUGAAGGGCUCAGACAUUUAGUGCCCUCCAAAAUCAAACACCUCCAUGCACACACCGUGCUUGGCUGGACUGCUCUAAGGUGUUUCCUGAAGCCUGGCAGCGUGCUGAGCAGGCUGAGCCCAGCAGGCACCAGGCACAUCUGCCAGCCUGUCCUAGGGGAUCUAGCCAGCAGGCUGCCAGCUGUUCGUGGCUCUGCUCAUUGUGCUUUAAACGACGUAAUCUGAAGUUUCCAAUUCAAAAAAGAUUAAUGAAAAAAAAGGAUUUAGCAGCAUUUUAUCAGCCAGACUGCUGAACUGGACCUCAAGUGUGAUUAGUGACUGGAAAAACUGAUGUACAACACCUCACUAUUCCAGGCUGAGUCCCACUGAAUUAGAGAAAACAUUUGUCAUCUGUGAAAAAUAAACCUGGUUUAUCUUCUGGUUAAUCA
rnacentral:lncRNA from 1 species